rnacentral:rRNA from 1 species
UAAUUGAAGAGUUUGAUCAUGGCUCAGAUUGAACGCUGGCGGCAGGCCUAACACAUGCAAGUCGAGCGGUAACAGGGGAAGCUUGCUUCUCGCUGACGAGCGGCGGACGGGUGAGUAAUGUAUGGGGAUCUGCCCGAU